rnacentral:rRNA from 1 species
GAUGAACGCUGGCGGCGUGCCUAAUACAUGCAAGUCGAGCGAACAGACGAGGAGCUUGCUCCUCUGAUGUUAGCGGCGGACGGGUGAGUAACACGUGGAUAACCUACCUAUAAGACUGGGAUAACUUCGGGAAACCGGAGCUAAUACCGGAUAACAUGUUGAACCGCAUGGUUCAACAGUGAAAGACGGUCUUGCUGUCACUUAUAGAUGGAUCCGCGCCGCAUUAGCUAGUUGGUAAGGUAACGGCUUACCAAGGCAACGAUGCGUAGCCGACCUGAGAGGGUGAUCGGCCACACUGGAACUGAGACACGGUCCAGACUCCUACGGGAGGCAGCAGUAGGGAAUCUUCCGCAAUGGGCGAAAGCCUGACGGAGCAACGCCGCGUGAGUGAAGAAGGUCUUCGGAUCGUAAAACUCUGUUAUUAGGGAAGAACAAAUGUGUAAGUAACUAUGCACGUCUUGACGGUACCUAUUCAGAAAGCCACGGCUAACUACGUG